UACAGAGGUCUCAAGCGUUGUUCGGAUUCGUUGGGCGUAAAGGGUGCGUAGGCGGCGCGGUAAGUCGGGUGUGAAAUCUCGGAGCUUAACUCCGAAACUGCAUUCGAUACUGCCGUGCUUGAGGACUGGAGAGGAGACUGGAAUUUACGGUGUAGCGGUGAAAUGCGUAGAUAUCGUGAGGAAGACCAGUGGCGAAGGCGGGUCUCUGGACAGUUCCUGACACUGAGGCACGAAGGCCAGGGGAGCAAACGGG
rnacentral:rRNA from 1 species